rnacentral:rRNA from 1 species
GACGAACGCUGGCGGCGUGCCUAAUACAUGCAAGUCGAGCGGACGGAUGGGAGCUUGCUCCCUGAAGUCAGCGGCGGACGGGUGAGUAACACGUGGGCAACCUGCCUGUAAGACUGGGAUAACUCCGGGAAACCGGGGCUAAUACCGGAUAACUCUUUUCCUCACAUGAGGAAAAGCUGAAAGAUGGUUUCGGCUAUCACUUACAGAUGGGCCCGCGGCGCAUUAGCUAGUUGGUGAGGUAACGGCUCACCAAGGCCACGAUGCGUAGCCGACCUGAGAGGGUGAUCGGCCACACUGGGACUGAGACACGGCCCAGACUCCUACGGGAGGCAGCAGUAGGGAAUCUUCCGCAAUGGACGAAAGUCUGACGGAGCAACGCCGCGUGAGUGAUGAAGGUUUUCGGAUCGUAAAACUCUGUUGUCAGGGAAGAACAAGUACCGGAGUAACUGCCGGUACCUUGACGGUACCUGACCAGAGAGCCACGGCUAACUACGUGCCAGCAGCCGCGGUAAAAC